rnacentral:rRNA from 1 species
CAAAGCACAACGUGGGAAAAACAGCUAGGAAUCGGUGUUCAUCUUUUGAAACUUGACCUCAAAUCAGGUAGGACUACCCGCUGAACUUAAGCAUAUCAAUAAGCGGAGGAAAAGAAACUAACAAGGAUUCCCCCUAGUAACUGCGAGUGAAGCGGGAAAAGCUCAAAUUUUGAAUCUGGCGGUCCCCGUGCCCGUCCGAGUUGUAAUCUAGAGAAGCGUCUUCCGCGCUGGACCGUGUACAAGUCUCCUGGAAGGGAGCGUCAUAGAGGGUGAGAAUCCCGUCUUUGACACGGACUACCAGCGCUAUGUGAUGCGCUCUCGACGAGUCGAGUUGUUUGGGAAUGCAGCUCAAAACGGGUGGUAAAUUCCAUCUAAAGCUAAAUACAGGCGAGAGACCGAUAGCGAACAAGUACCGUGAGGGAAAGAUGAAAAGAACUUUGGAAAGAGAGUUAAACAGUACGUGAAAUUGCUGAAAGGGAAACGCUUGAUGUCAGUCGCGUCCGCCGGGGAUCAACCUUGCUUUCGCGCUCGGUGUAUUUCCUGGCUGACGGGUCAGCAUCAGUUUCGAUCGUCGUACAAUGGCAAAGGGAACGUGGCACUCUUCGGAGUGUGUUAUAGCUUUUUGUCGCAUGCGGCGCUCGGGACUGAGGAACUCGGCACGACUCCGUUUGGUCUAGGAUGCUGGCAUAAUGGCCUUAAGCGACCCGUCUG